rnacentral:rRNA from 1 species
UGCAUUAGCUAGUUGGUGAGGUAACGGCUCACCAAGGCAACGAUGCAUAGCCGACCUGAGAGGGUGAUCGGCCACACUGGGACUGAGACACGGCCCAGACUCCUACGGGAGGCAGCAGUAGGGAAUCUUCCGCAAUGGACGAAAGUCUGACGGAGCAACGCCGCGUGAGUGAUGAAGGCUUUCGGGUCGUAAAACUCUGUUGUUAGGGAAGAACAAGUACGAGAGUAACUGCUCGUACCUUGACGGUACCUAACCAGAAAGCCACGGCUAACUACGUGCCAGCAGCCGCGGUAAUACGUAGGUGGCAAGCGUUAUCCGGAAUUAUUGGGCGUAAAGCGCGCGCAGGCGGUUUCUUAAGUCUGAUGUGAAAGCCCACGGCUCAACCGUGGAGGGUCAUUGGAAACUGGGGAACUUGAGUGCAGAAGAGAAAAGCGGAAUUCCACGUGUAGCGGUGAAAUGCGUAGAGAUGUGGAGGAACACCAGUGGCGAAGGCGGC